GACGAACGCUGGCGGCGUGCUUAACACAUGCAAGUCGAACGGAAAGUCCCUGCUUGUGUGGGGUGCGCGAGUGGCGAACGGGGGAGUAACACGUGAGUAACCUGCCAUUUACGGUGGGAUAACUUCAGGAAACUGGUGCUAAUACUAGAUAGGAGCACCUGCUGCAUGGUGGGGUUUGGAAAGUGUCGGCGUUUGGGGAUGGUUUCGCGGCGUAUUAGCUUGUUGGUGGGGUAGCGGCUUACCAAGGCCUUGCCGGGUAGCCGGCCUGAGAGGGUGACCGGCCACAUGGGGACUGAGACACGGCCCAGACUCCUACGGGAGGCAGCAGUGGGGAAUAUUGGACAAUGGACCGAGACUUGAAGCAACAACGCCGCGGGCGGGAAGAAGGCUUUCGGGUUGGAAAACGCUUUCGACUGUGACGAAGCGUGAUGAACGGUCAUGGGUAAAGAAGCACCGCCUAACUACGU
rnacentral:rRNA from 1 species